UACGUAGGCAGCGAGCGUUGUUCGGAGUUACUGGGCGUAAAGAGUGCGUAGGCGGUUUUCUAAGUUUGGUGUGAAAUCUCCCGGCUUAACUGGGAGGGCGCGCCGAAAACUGGAAGGCUUGAGUAUGGGAGAGGUAAGCGGAAUUCCUGGUGUAGCGGUGAAAUGCGUAGAUAUCAGGAGGAACACCUGCGGUGUAGACGGCUUACUGGACCAUAACUGACGCUGAGGCACGAAAGCGUGGGUAGCAAACAGG
rnacentral:rRNA from 1 species